GACGGAGGGUGCAAACGUUGCUCGGAAUUACUGGGCGUAAAGGGCGUGUAGGCGGGAAGGCAAGUCGGGCGUGAAAGCCCCAGGCUCAACCUGGGAACUGCACUCGAAACUGCCUUUCUUGAGUGCCGGAGAGGAAAGCGGAAUUCCUGGUGUAGAGGUGAAAUUCGUAGAUAUCAGGAGGAACACCAGUGGCGAAGGCGGCUUUCUGGACGGUAACUGACGCUGAGACGCGAAAGCGUGGGGAGCAAACAGG
rnacentral:rRNA from 1 species